CAACAUGUUCGAAUUUGAAACGAAUAGUAGGUAUGUUAAUGUUAUAAAACAUUUAAUGACCGAUUUUUUUUUCUAAAAAAUUUGUAUUUGCUAUUACUGAUUAAUGUUUUAUGAAUUAAACACGAAAUAAAUAUGGCUGCGUUUAACGGAAAUUACUGUAAAAUUAUUCACUACAAUAACGCAGUAAUAGCAACUUAACGAAUACCGAAAAGAAAUACACCUUAUGUAUUAAUGUGUAAUGAUGUUUUUCUCGUCAUUUAUUUAUUUAUUUUAUUUAUUAGUGGCUAUUUCAAAUAUUUCCGAAAAUGUAAGUAGGAAAAUUAUAAAAAAAAUUCACAAUAUGUAUUCCGACCUAUAGAUUACGAUAUUAACAUAACAGCGAAAAGUCCAUAAUAGCACAUUACCGACUUAUUGCAUGGGGGCGUCGAUAUGUAUAUUAUUUAAGUAUGUGUAAUAUUAGUUCAUGCAAGGAUUCAUUGAAGCCAAUUGGAAAUAAAACGACAACUCUUGAAAUA